UACGUAGGGUGCGAGCGUUUAAUCGGAAUUACUGGGCGUAAAGCGUGCGCAGGCGGUUUUGUAAGCCAGAUGUGAAAUCCCCGGGCUUAACCUGGGAGUGGCAUUUGGGACUGCAAGGCUCGAGUGCGGCAGAGGAGACUGGAAUUCCUGGUGUAGCAGUGAAAUGCGUAGAUAUCAGGAGGAACACCGAUGGCGAAGGCAGGUCUCUGGGCUGACACUGACGCUCAUGCACGAAAGCGUGGGGAGCAAACAGG
rnacentral:rRNA from 1 species